AUAAAUCUGAUAGGUUUUGUUAAGUUGGAUGUUUUAAUGAUUAAAAUGUAAAUUUGCAGUUUUGUUUGAGCAAGUAAUUGCUCGAUUGAUUGAUUGAGGUUUUGGUGCUUAAAAGAAAAUAGCUAGACUUAGGGUUUUUAUUCAGGAAACUUGGAAUUCUAAUCCUACAGAUGCCUAAUGAGUUGCAUGCAUGAUAAUAUAGAGCUCAACUACUAAGCAACAAGUCAAUCAGCUCUCUCG
rnacentral:lncRNA from 1 species